CCGGAAGUAGCCGAGGAGGGUGGAGCCUACAACCUGCGCAGGAGCGGCGUGGUACCUUAGAGCUGAGCGAGCGAGCCCGACGUAGUUUCAGUUGCCCAAGAUCAACUGUGGUUCAGAAGCCGAUGCUCAUCCUUCUGACAUGUCACCUAACAGUACAUCAGAACAUCUCCAUCGUUUACCUCCCUUUAUCUCAUCACAUAGACAUUUUAUCAUUUCAUACCACCACAAGAAGGAUAACUGCUGUCACAAAUUUUGUGUUUAUCAUGUAGGCUCCAUGCCCAGCGUGGAGCCCAGUGUGGGACUUGAACUUAUAACCCUGAGAUCAAGACCCGAGUUGAGAUCAAGAGUCAGAUGCUUAACCAACUGAGCUACCCAGGUGCCCUGAUGCUGUUCUUUUCUUUGUGAUGACCUGACCUCUAUCAUUUUCCAUCUCUCUGAAGAACUUCUAACAUUUCUUGCAAGGCAGGUCUGCUGGCAAAAAAUUCCCUCAAUUUUUGUUUGAGAAAAAUCUUCAUUUCUCCUUUAUUUAAAAAAUUUAGUUUUUAUAAGUUUUUUUUUUUAAAAAAAGAUUUUGUUUAUUUACUUGACAGACAGAGAUCACAAGUAGGCAGAGAGGCAGGCAGAGAGAGAGAGGAGGAGAAGCAGGCUCCCUGCUGAGCAGAGAGCCCGAUGCAGGGCUCGAUCCCAGGACCCUGAGAUGAGGCUUUAACCCACUGAGCCACCCAGGCACCCCAAGUUUUUAUAAGUUUUUAUUCAAAUUCCAGUUAGUUAACAUUUGGUGUAGUAUUAGUUUCACGUAUGCAAUAGUGAUUCAACCCUUCCGUACAUCACCCUGUGCUCAUCACGACAGUGCAUGAAGGAUAAUUUCAGAGUACAAAAUUUUUCGUUGGUGGGAUUUUUUGUCCCAACACUUUAAAUAUUUUACUCCACUUGCUUUCAUGAUUUCUGAAAAGUUGGAUGUAAUUCUUACCUUUGCCCCUCUAUAGAUAAGGUGUUUUUUCCUCUGGCUUAUUUCAAGAUUUUUUUCUUUUAUUGUUGAUUUUCUGCAGUGUGAAUAUGAUAUACCUAGGUAUAGUUUUUUUGGGCAUUUAUUCUUCUUGGUAUUCUCUGAGCUUCCUUGGAUCUGUGGUUUGGUGUUUCAAAUACUCAGUUAUUAUUGCUUUAAAUAUUUAUCCUGUUCCUUUCUCUCGUUCUUCUGGCUGUCCCGUCAUACAUGUUACUCCUUUUGUAGUUGUCCCACAGUUCUUGGAUCUUAGGGUUUUUUUUAGCUGUUUUUUUCCCCCUUUGCUUUUUCAGUUUUAGAAAUUUCCACUGGGGCGCUUGGGUGGCUCAGUCGGUUAAGUGUCCGACUCCGACUCUUGGUUUCAGCUCAGGUCAUGGUCUCAGAGUCGUGAGAUUGAGCCCCGCAUCAGUUCCCUGCUGAGCUGGAGCCUGAUUAAGGUUCUCUCUCUGCCCAUCCCCCCAAAGAAAAACAAAAAAACCAAAAACAUUUCUAUUGAGAUCAAGAUCAGAGACUCUUUCUUCAGCUA